GCGGGUGUGGUUCAGUGGCAGAACGGAACCUUGCCAUGGUUCAGACGAGGGUUCGAUUCCCUUCACCCGCUCCC
rnacentral:tRNA from 1 species